ACCUAAAUAAACCCAUUAUAUUAUAAUUUAUUAAACGGCACCAGGAAAACCGCUCGAGAUCGCGUGCGCGUAUAAAAACGCGCCUAGUGCCGACCGACCGUAACUCGUUAAUUCGCAGACACGUGCGUUUCGACGAUCGUUAUCGGCCCGAGGACUGAAUUUUUUUUUUCGGUUUUUUUUCUCUGACCUUCGGCCCCAGCGGUCGGUCCCCUUGUCGAUUUCGUAAUGCUGGACGACGUGAACGAACGACAUUCCGCACGCAAAGUAUAAAACCCGGUCGCUCUUGUUAUGUGUUUCACCCGGUAUAUAUUACGAACGUGUCGUCAAGAGAACGCUACAUAGUGUGCGUUUCCGUCUUAUGAACAUCCGAUGUAGAUAUACACCGCACGCUAUACGCCAGACUAUACGCACAACUCGCUAAGUUUUGGUUUUAGAGAAUAAGAAAAGCACCUAUAUUGUGAAAUUAAUAGAGAACGAAGGAGGGCGAGACGUUGCGUUUU